AUCUCGAUUGUGUUAGCUUGAUUGAGGGAAAUUUUAUGAAAAGAAAAGAGCCCAAGUGACAUAGUUAUCCUUACAAGUUUAUCAAAUCUUGUUAAGUCAAAUUUCAAUUUAAAUUCACAUGGUUUCUCCCUUAUUUUUCAUAAAAUUCAUUAACCUCUUUUUUUUUUUUUUGAAAAGUGUCUCAAAUUCUAAUUUGAGUCGAUUGGAAAGUCACUGAUAGUUUGUCAUUGAUAGUUUUCGAAUGGGAUAUAUUCUUGUAAAUAAAUUUUCUAGUAUCAUAAAGAAAAUUUCCUAUUGUGAGAUUUUUUUUAAGAAAUAAGUAUCUUUUGAUAAUCACAUAAUUAGUUUCCUACAAGGAAUCUUAUCGUGUAAUUAGAAAAAUAUAUAAGAAGAUAUUUUGAUUAAAAAGUAUGAGUCUCUUUUUUGGUUUAGUUGAGAUUUUGAGAUUUGAGGGCUUUAGGGUUGUAAUCUUCUUCAAUAAUAAUAGAAAUUCUUCUUCUUCACCCAUGGAUGUAAGCUUUAGGUUAAACCAAGCUUUAGGUCAAACCACAUAAAUCAUAACAUGUUUUGUGUGUUUUCUGUUUUCAUAUUCUUAUUUUCUUUUCCCUCUUAUCUAAACUUCUCAAUUUCCCCAUUAUAUGUGAGAUCUCCCUAUCUUUCAACACCUAACUUACGAGGAUUUUAAAACUAAAAAAUUGACUCCAUAUACUUGGGGAAUUGCAGUUUUGCAUAUAUAUUUGGGAGCGAUCAAUAGGUUAAAGAGAAGUUCAGGGGUUAGGUUACCUAGUAAGAAGGUAUUAGGUGCCCACUAAGCCCAACAUGAGAAAAUGGAGGCAACUUUAAUAAGUGAUUGAUUUGAUAAAAAAAAUACAAAGUCAAAUUAAAAUAAUAAAAUUAGUUUUCUCUAGCUAUUUGUGACUUUUGACAUGGUGGUGGAAGAAAGAAAUGCAUACAAAUAUGAAUAAUCACAUGGAUAAUCAAGUAAGAGGUUGUGGACAAGGAAUAUGAUGAGAUAUUUGCUCUCAUUGCUUAUUUAGAAAGUAUAAGAUUAAUCAUCUCUUUGGCUACUAAAAAUAACUGGAAGAUUUUUCAAAUUAAUGUGAAAUAUGUCUUUUUAAAUGGACAUCUUGAAGAAAAAGUGUAUAUGGAACAACCCAUGGAUUCUGUGUUAAGAUAAAACCCUUAAAAUAUGACAUUAUGUAAUAAAAUUUUGGAUUUUAUUUGUUUAAUAAAGUUUCGAUUCACUUUUAUCUAUCAUAUUUCCAUGCAUCAUAUCUUGUAAACACUUUAAUCUGCAUCUUUUGCAUUGUACAUGAUUUUGGUGCAUUAGAAGUUACAUGAAAAAUCUAAGUCAUGAGUUCUUUGCAAAUAGAUGAUUGUUCACAAUCGGUUCAUGGGUCUAGGCAACCCAUUAGAGGUUGUAGUGCACCACCUCCUAAUUGGAUGGAUGGUUGGUCUUGGCUAUCAUGAUAGAUUUCUCAUGGUGAGUGCACUAGUAUGUAUGAUUACACAUUGGAUACAACCUAUGAUGAGUCAUGACUUAACGUUAUCAAGUAUUCAUGACCUUACCAAAUUGUUUCAUUGUGUUGUUUCUUAAUUUUGACAAAAUAAGUUUGUGCUGAAAUUAACAGUGGCUUUGACCUAUGGGUGAGAUUAUAAGUUGAUUAUAUAUUAUUUAUAGAUUGAGUCAUUGUUAAUGAAAGUUAAUAGCAAUAGGUAUUCUCAAUAGAGACACCAUGAUAUCUUUUAGGAUUGAGACAGUGUGUUUCCUUAGAAGAUCCUAAGGAAAUGUGUCAUGGAAACUAUGACUAUAGUAGUUCCUUAAGUAGAACUUGACAUAUGCUCUUGAAGAGCUAAAACAUGUCAAUUGAAUACAUAAUAAAAGGACUUGUAACUCAAGGAUAGUAGAGAUAGUCUUGAAAAACAAAUAGUAUUCACCUUAAUUAUUAGACUACGGACACCGGUUCAUGGGGAGAUUGAAUGCAAUAGAUAAUAGGUCACAGACCUGAGCAUUUGGCAUCUCGUUGUUAUUUACAGAGGAUACUAAAAUUUAGUUGAUUCUUUAUAGUGGAAUGUUAAAUCAACUUUAUAAUUGGCUUUUGAAAGAGUCAGUACUCUUAUAAGUCCUAUUGCUCCUCGUUUUGAGCUCAUAUACCUUGUUGGUAUGGGUUAUGAGGGUUGGAUCAACUUUAGGUUCACAUUUUUGCAUAAGGGUGUUUUGGUAAUUACACAAGGUUGCACAAGGGGAAGUAAGUAAGGUUUCUGGAUUGAGUUAAAUGAGUAAUUAUAAUUAAUAACCCUUGUUGGGUUAAUUAAUCAAUUAGGACCCAUUUUGGGCUAAAUUAAGUGACCCAAGCUCUUAGUGGACUCAAGUCACUUAAACCUAUUGGGGAACCCUAAAUACCUCCUUAAGGGUUAGGGUUUCCAUAACUUCUUCUAGAGAGUCAUUUUCCACUUCUAAAGAGAGAGAACAAUAGCUUUCACCAUCUCUUUCAUUUCCAUCGGAAGUGUGUCAAGAUCAAGGUUCAAGUUAUCAAGAGGAAUACUUUGGGUUUACAAGACUUCCUGGGACUUUCAUUCUUCAUCUUCAUCGUGUGGAUUCAAUUUGGGAACAUCCGAAUCUAAUGUAUGUUGUUCGUUAGUACUUUCUGAAUCCCUUAAAUUUUAAAAAUGCAAUUUUUCCACCGUGUAUAGGAUUUAGAAAAGCUUAAGAUAGUUUUACAUGUUUCUAACCUAAUCCGGACUUGGGAAAUGUAGAAAUCUUGGAUUUUCCCUUCAUUAUGUGGUGAAAGGGCACAAGAAUAAGGUUUUAAAUUUAAAAAGAGUCAUGUAUGGAUUAAUUAAAAAAAAAAAACAGCAAGAGCAUAGGAAUAGUAAAACUAACAAAUAUUUUUAAGAUAAUCAUUUUAUUAAAUACCUUCAUAAACAUGCUCUCUAUAUAAAGGUGAAUGAAAAAGGUAAUAUUUAUUACUUGUUUGCUUGUAUGUGGAUUAUUUGAUCUUCAUUAAAAAUAAUUCAAUCAUAUUUGGUGAAUUCAAUAAGUAAUGGCUCGAGAGUUUGAGAUAACUGACAUUGAUCUCAUCUCAUACUAUCUUGGCAUAGAAAUGAAACAAACUAAAAUGGUACUUUUAUAUCUUAAGAAGGCUAUGCAAAAAAACAAAAAAACAAUCUCUAGAAGUUUGAUAUGAACAUGUGUAAUUCGAUGUACACAUAAUAGAAUAUGGAGUUAAAUUAUCUAAGACAUGAAGAAAAUAUGCAUCCAACAUAAUACAAAAGUUUAGUUAGAAGCUGACGUUGUUUGACUUAUACAAGGUCAGACAUUCCUUUUGGAGUUGGACUUGCUAGUCGUUAUAUAAAAACACCAAUAGUGACUCACAUGAAAAUUGUUAAAUGAAUUCUUUACUACAUUGAAGGUAUACUUGAUUAUAGUUUAUUUUAUAACUCCUAACCAUUUUAAGCUUAUUAGAUAUAGUGAUAGUGAUUGGGGCAGAGACUUGGAUGAUUGAAAGAAAACCAGUGACUUUGUGUUUUUAUGGGAGGUUCCACAUUCACUUGCACCUCAAAGAGGCUAUUUAUUGUGAUACUUUUAACUUGUGAAAAGGAAUUUCUUUCAACAAUAUCAUGUGCAUGUCAUGCAAUUUGGCUAAAAAAUUUGUUGAAGGAACUGAAUUUUCCACAAAAUAAACCAAAAAAGAUAUAUGUGGACAACAAAUCAACGAUUACAUCAUCAGAACAUCCCAUUUUCCAUGACGAAGCAAAUACAUCGAGAUAAUAUAUCAUUUUAUUAUAUAGUGCAUUAUGAAGAAAGAAGUGUAAUUAAAAUUGAUCAAAUUUCAAGAUCAAAUUUACAGACAUUUUUACUAAAUCUCUCAAAUUUAAAGAUUUUAAAAGGUUAAAAAUGCUACUUGGAGUUACAAAUCAAGUUUAAGAGGGCAUGUUGGAAAGUUAAACUUGAUUUAGAAAUUUUUAAAAAAUUACAAUUCAAUUUAGUUUCCAAAAGUCAAAGGAAAUAUUUUAUUUUGAGUGGUUACUGUAGUUUGUAUAUUUAAAUACUUUGUAAUUGUUUAUAUUCAUUUUUCAACCCCAUUACUCCAAUAGAUGGCAUACAUAAAGCUAUGUCUUUGGAUUAAUAUUAGAGCUGCCUCUAAUUCUAAUGUGUUCAACUUCAUUAGACAAGGUUAUGUCGAUCAUCAUAUCCACAUAGUUACCUACAACAUUUUAUUGCAGUGCAUGCACAUGUCUUCAAUGGCUGUAUGCAUAAUACUAGUUUUUGCAAUAUGGGGUUGAAACAUGACUAGUUGUUAUAUACAAAGAAAUAAAUAAUCUAUACUUUUAAUAAUUUUAAUAUAGAUUUAUUUACUAUAUAAAUAUACUGGUAUUUAUGUAUAGCAUUUUCCGCAAAUAGUAGCCUCAAUUCUUGCCCAGAUUCACAUUCCAUUGUCAGCAGAGAAAAGGGACAAUUCCAUCUGAAUUGGGAAUAGAUCAUCAGAAAGGAAGAAACAGAAACAAUUCUAUCAUUAAUCAAUCAAACUGGUAAUACAUAGUACUUCUGGAUCGUAUAUAUAUAAUCCAACACUUGAAACCACCGACUCCAAAUCAACCUCCUUCAUACAUACUAAGCCUUAGAUACAAUGCCUGUUGAGCUUGUUGAGCUUCUUCUCAGUUUCAAGGGCCUGGUGGGUGGUAGGGGCUGUGUGGUGGACUGUAUGGACUUUUAUAUAUUUUGGGGCUGGGUGGUGGAUAGUGUGGGCUUUUAUAUAUUUUGGGGCUGGGUGGUGGACUGUAUGGGCUUUUAUAUAUUUUGGGGCUGGGUGGUGGAUUGUGUGGCCUUUUAUAUAUUUUGGGGCUGGGAGGUGGAAUGCGUGGGCUUUUAUAUAUUUUGGGGCUGGGUGGUGGACUGUGUGGGCUUUUAUAUAUUUUGGGGCUGGGUGGUGGAUUGUGUGGGCUUUUAUAUAUUUUGGGGCUGGGAGGUGCAAUGUGUGGGCUUUUAUAUAUUUUGGGGCUGGGAGGUGGAAUGUGUGGGCUUUUAUAUAUUUUGGGGCUGGGUGGACUUUUAUGCAUUCUUUUACAGUCCCUUGAUCCGGGAUUGCACAUGCUUGUAGAUGGUGGAUCAGGUAAAUUCCCUGCUAUAAAGCCCACCUUAUCGCUACUCAUUUCUUCUGCAACAUCCAUGCCAAAUAUUAUCAUAAAUCACAAAGAGGCAAAAACAGCAGCCCAUGCAUGACAGUAUAUUAAAUGGGAAAAUUGUGUACUAGCCUCCAAUCAUAUCCAUUUGAAGUUUCAAGAACAGAAACUUAGUAGGACAUUUGAUCUUAUUCAACUAUUCAAAUCCACGUAAGUAAGCAUGCGCAUGUAUAGUUAAUUACUUGCAUGAAUAUUAAAUGCAUGUAGGGAAAGAAAUUACCA
rnacentral:lncRNA from 1 species